rnacentral:rRNA from 1 species
UCCCACCUGACCCCAUGCCGAACUCAGAAGUGAAACGCCGUAGCGCCGAUGGUAGUGUGGGGUCUCCUCAUGCGAGAGUAGGGAACUGCCAGGC